rnacentral:rRNA from 1 species
CGAUUGAGUUUGAUCAUGGCUCAGGAUGAACGCUGGCGGCGUGCCUAAUACAUGCAAGUCGAGCGCGAAGAUCAGGAGCUUGCUCCUGAGAUUCGAGCGGCGGACGGGUGAGUAACACGUAGGCAACCUACCCUUGAGAUUGGGAUAACUACCGGAAACGGUAGCUAAUACCGGAUACGACAUUCCUGCAUAAGUAAGAAUGUUAAAAGGCGGAUUUAUCUGCCGCUCAUGGAUGGGCCUGCGGUGCAUUAGCUAGUUGGUGAGAUAGUAGCUCACCAAGGCGACGAUGCAUAGCCGACCUGAGAGGGUGAUCGGCCACACUGGGACUGAGACACGGCCCAGACUCCUACGGGAGGCAGCAGUAGGGAAUCUUCCGCAAUGGACGCAAGUCUGACGGAGCAACGCCGCGUGAGUGAUGAAGGGUUUCGGCUCGUAAAACUCUGUUGUUAAGGAAGAACACUUGAGGUAGUAACUGGCCUUGAGAUGACGGUACUUAACCAGAAAGCCACGGCUAACUAUGUGCCAGCAGCCGCGGUAAUACGUAGGUGGCAAGCGUUAUCCGGAAUUAUUGGGCGUAAAGCGCGCGUAGGCGGUAAAAUAAGUCUGAUGUGAAAGCCCCCGGCUCAACCGGGGAGGGUCAUUGGAAACUGUUUUACUUGAGUACAGAAGAGGAGAGUGGAAUUCCAUGUGUAGCGGUGAAAUGCGCAGAGAUAUGGAGGAACACCAGUGGCGAAGGCGGCUCUCUGGUCUGUAACUGACGCUGAGGUGCGAAAGCGUGGGGAUCAAACAGGAUUAGAUACCCUGGUAGUCCACGCCGUAAACGAUGAGUGCUAAGUGUU